CAAUCGGAGUAGACAGUCAGGAACGCACAAGAGAUCUAUAUAUAGUAUGAAACAAGUGACCUGCGCCAUCUUGGUAGGCAAACGAAGUGCAAAGCAUAGCGGACCCAUGGCUUCGACACCAACACAAAGAAAGUACAUUGACACUCUUAACCAAUGUGCAGAAAAAUAUAUCAACAAAAUGGCUGCUGGUGGGAUCGACCCGUUUGAGACAGAGAAUGGAAACAAGUCACAUGAUGUGGACAAGCUGCCUUUGAUCUCCUACUCUGACAUAGUUCACUACUUAGAGAACACAAAGAGUGCCACACCAUGGAGGAGCUUGAAAUCUAUACAAUCAAUGUUUUAACGGCUUUGUAAAGGAAGCAAGAACUCUUCAAGGUUCUGGUUCUGGUGGACCAAAGAUUAUGAAGAGCCGUUGUGGAAGUCGCAGAGAGCCACUUGCGGCUCCAGAGCCACAGGUUGCAGACCCCUGGAUUAGGCGACUGUGUCAGCUGUGCUCAGGGUUCUGGCCCAAGCAUACCAGCGGGCUGCUUCACCCAUCCCCGGCACCAAGCAGCUGCCGCCCGGCCCUCCUCUCAUAUCACUGAGGGUCGCCUUACCCAGGGAUGAGGGGACAGCUGGCUGGAUGGGUGCAGCUGUGGACCUGCUUGGCGACCUCCAGCUCCUGCGUUUUCUCCCGCAGCAUCUCGUUUUCCCACUCCAGCUGGGAGUUUUUCUUCUGCACCGC